ACGGAGGAUCCGAGCGUUAUCCGGAUUUAUUGGGUUUAAAGGGAGCGUAGGUGGACAUGUAAGUCAGUUGUGAAAGUUUGCGGCUCAACCGUAAAAUUGCAGUUGAUACUGUGUGUCUUGAGUACAGUAGAGGUGGGCGGAAUUUGUGGUGUAGCGGUGAAAUGCUUAGAUAUCACGAAGAACUCCGAUUGCGAAGGCAGCUCACUGGACUGUUACUGACACUGAGGCUCGAAAGUGUGGGUAUCAAACAG
rnacentral:rRNA from 1 species